rnacentral:rRNA from 1 species
UACGUAGGAGGCGAGCGUUGUCCGGAAUUACUGGGUGUAAAGCGCGUGUAGGCGGAUGGCCAAGUCUGGGGUGAAAGCACCCGGCUCAACUGGGGAGUGUCCCUGGAAACUGGUCAUCUGGAGGACGGUAGAGGCGAGUGGAAUUCCCGGUGUAGUGGUGAAAUGCGUAGAGAUCGGGAGGAACACCAGUGGCGAAGGCGGCUCGCUGGGC